AGCGCCGGUGCCGGCAGAGGGAGCGCAGGCAGCGCGGAGGAGCUCCCAGCCUUCAGCCAGCCCUCGGCAUCCCAAAGUCCAUCCCGUCCCGGGCACUCCCGCGGGCGACGCUUCCCUAAAACAAUGCUGGAAUUUUAAGGUGGACAAGCAGCGUGUUGUCAGCCCUUCCCUUGUGUUCUUAGGGACAGCCGGGCGAUUUUGUUGGAACAUGUCAAACAAAUCCCGUCUGGAGCGGGUGUCUGUGAAAGGAAACAGCCCUCACGCGGUUUGGAAAGGUUGCAGAGUGCUCUGAGGAAGGUGCCCAGUAGAUGGUGUCAGCUCUCAUUAGCUACUCACAGAGCCGCUAAUUAAGAGCGCAUUCUCCAUGUGCUCCCGGUGACAUCUGUGUGUGUCCAGCCUGGUGUGCACAGGGAUGAAGGGAGUGGGGCUGAGGGGAGCGUGGCAGGUGGUGAAACCCAGCUUCCUAACUCCAGCCUGAUGGCUGAUCUCAGUCUUCCUUCACGGAGAGCUAUUUCAAAAAUAAUGAUGUUUCUGUCAAUUUAAUAAGAUUUAUUCUAGGACACUUUUCAGGCUACCUGCAGAGGUGUCAGUAAUGAAGUCAACAACUCAGUCCCCAACCCAGCCAGCACCUGUGUGUGCUGCAGGCAACCAGACUUCCACACAGGCAGAAUCCCUCAUUUCACACUUGUUUUAUUUUUGUUGUUUAUUAAUGCUGAUGAAACACCUCUUUUUCUCAUACCAGGGUUAUUCUGUCGUUCUCCACAAGUCUCCUCAAAGAUCCCAAUGCAGGCACUUGGGUGAAGGUUUUCAUUUCCUUGGAUUGUAAACGUUCUUUUGAGCCUCAGGCAGUUCCCUGCAGCAGAACUUGGAGGAGAAACAUGCCAAACACUCUUCACUUGGGAUAAAGAGGGGUUGGGAGAGCCAGAAGAUUUCCUUAAGCACCUUUUGCUGGACCCAGGGGAUACAGAUGUCAGAGCCAGAGCUCCACAAAGUGCUCUACAGCAGGGUCACUUUCCAAGUGAACAUGGAACGGACGAGAGGAUCCAUUCAAAACUGCCAUUGCUCCAUCCUGGAACAAAGCUCUGAUACAGAGAGGGGUGCUCUGGAAACUGGGAGUAGCUGUGUGAGUACAGCAGGAGGUCUCCAGGGAUACCCCUUUAACCCUAGGACAGGUGCUGUUUCCUCAGAGGGAACUGCCCAGGCCAGACUUGCCUUUCCUUGCAUUUGGCUUUUCCAUUCUCAUGGAGUCCAUAAAAGAUUUCCUUGAAAGAAACAUUCUGAGUACACAGCCCAGGGAAACGCUUGCAUUUUGAAGCAGAGGUUUGUGUUAGUUCUCACUUCUGUGCAGUGCUACAGCAUUUUAUUUAUGCCUGUCUGAGCAGCCUGUGCUUCUUCCCUGAGAAAUUCCCUGUGGGGAAUCACAAAAAGUGGAAAGGAUUUUUGGUGUG